rnacentral:rRNA from 1 species
GUGAGGAAUAUUGGACAAUGGGCGCAAGCCUGAUCCAGCCAUGCCGCGUGCAGGAAGACGCAUCUAUGGUGUGUAAACUGCUUUUGUACGGGAAGAAACACUCCCUCGUGAGGGAGCUUGACGGUACCGUAAGAAUAAGGAUCGGCUAACUCCGUGCCAGCAGCCGCGGUAAUACGGAGGAUCCAAGCGUUAUCCGGAAUCAUUGGGUUUAAAGGGUCCGUAGGCGGUUUAAUAAGUCAGUGGUGAAAGCCCAUCGCUCAACGAUGGAACGGCCAUUGAUACUGUUAGACUUGAAUUACAAGGAAGUAACUAGAAUAUGUAGUGUAGCGGUGAAAUGCUUAGAUAUUACAUGGAAUACCAAUUGCGAAGGCAGGUUACUACUUGUGGAUUGACGCUGAUGGACGAAAGCGUGGGGAGCGAACAGGAUUAGAAAACCUUGUAGUCC